rnacentral:rRNA from 1 species
GCAUGAAGUCGGAAUUGCUAGUAAUCGCGGAUCAGCAUGCCGCGGUGAAUACGUUCCCGGGCCUUGUACACACCGCCCGUCAAGCCAUGGAAGCCGGGAGUGCCUGAAGUGUGCAACCGCAAGGAGCGCCCUAAGGUAAAACCGGUGACUGGGGCUAAGUCGUAACAAGGUAGC